ACUUCUGUAGCUCAAAUUUAGAGCGCAACAUUGAAGCUGUUGAAGUGGUUUUUAAGCCCGGGGGUG
rnacentral:tRNA from 1 species